AUGCUGGAGGCAGCAUUUGGACUCAGGCAGUCGAAUCCCAGAGCCCGAAUCCUGCCGUUCUCACUGUCAUCCUGGAGCUCCAGAGCCUGUGGUCACUCAGCUGGCAACCUCACAGGCAGGCCAGCCCCUCCCCAAGCUCAUUUUCCUUAUGGCCUUGCACUGACCUCAACUUUCUUGGACAUCAAAUGGACCCACUGGGCCGCUCCAGGUGUUUCCUUGCCUCCUCUUCUGAAAAUUCGGGACCGCCAUACAGACACCUCCCGGCUCUUCUGUGUGGUCAGGCGCCCUGUCCAUCUUCCUCGCGCUGACUCUCCAGACUCUUUGGAAAGAGUAAAUCCGUGUGCAGAGCACCUGGCUCCAGAGCUUUGGGGCCUCAGGUACGGCCACAUCCCCAUCCUAGCAGCUCUGGCUCAGAGGCCUUCCGCGGGGUCUCAGGGCCAAGGCUGGCCGAGUGUUCCCUGCCCCACAGGCCCAGCGUGGAAUCUCGUUUCUGCCUUCUGCAGAGGGCAGCCUGGAGAGCGCCUCCCGCCACCUGAGAACCAGAGAGGAUGCGAGGAGCCACCGAGAGAGGUCCAGGGCCCAAGUUAG
rnacentral:lncRNA from 1 species